rnacentral:rRNA from 1 species
GUCAUAUGCUUGUCUCAAAGAUUAAGCCAUGCAUGUCUAAGUGUAAACGAAUUUACAGUGGAACUGCGAAUGGCUCAUUAAAUCAGUUAUAGUUUAUUUGAUUGUACAUUUCUACUUGGAUAACCGUAGUAAUUCUAGAGCUAAUACAUGCUUAAAAAACCUAACUAGGGUAAAACUUGGGAAGGUUGUAUUUAUUAGAUACAAAAACCAAUUUCAAUUUGGAGUGAAAGCUUUGGGUUGAAUUCUUCUUUCUUCGGAAAGGAGGAAAAACUGGUGAUUCAUAAUAACUUUAACGAAUCGCAUGAUCUUCGGGUAACGGAGAAUUAGGGUUCGAUUCCGGAGAGGGAGCCUGAGAAAUGGCUACCACUUCCAAGGAAGGCAGCAGGCGCGCAAAUUACCCAAUCCUGAUACAGGGAGGUAGUGACAAAAAAUAACGAUACGGGUCCUUUUAAAGGGUCUCGUAAUUGGAAUGAGUACAAUUUAAACCCCUUAACGAGUAACAAUUAGAGGGCAAGUCUGGUGCCAGCAGCCGCGGUAAUUCCAGCUCUAAUAGUGUAUAUUAAAGUUGUUGCGGUUAAAAAGCUCGUAGUUGGAUCUUUGGAUUUGAUUUUAAAAAUAGUCUGAUUCAAAAGAGUUAGAUCUAUUUUAUCAAUCCUAAUUAUGAUUAGAUUACUCAUUUAUUAAUCUUUAUUGAUUAAUAAAUUUAAAAAGGAAAGAAGUUCUUUCAAAAGAAGGACUUAUCUUUCUGGAGUUCUAAUCCUUUUACUUUGAGUAAAUUAGAGUGUUCAAAGCAGACAAAAUUCUGUCAGUCAUUGAAUAUUAGAGCAUGGGAUAAUAGAAUAAGACUUUAAUCUUAUUUUAUUGGUUUCUAGGAUUAAAGUAAUGAUUAAUAGGGAUAGUUGGGGGCAUUAGUAUUUAAUUGUCAGAGGUGAAAUUCUUGGAUUUAUUAAAGACUAACUAGUGCGAAAGCAUUUGCCAAGGAUGUUUUCAUUAAUCAAGAACGAAAGUUAGGGGAUCGAAGACGAUCAGAUACCGUCGUAGUCUUAACCAUAAACUAUG